rnacentral:rRNA from 1 species
GACGAACGCUGGCGGCGUGCUUAACACAUGCAAGUCGAACGGAAAGGCCCUGCGUUUGUGGGGUGCUCGAGUGGCGAACGGGUGAGUAACACGUGAGUAACCUGCCCUUGACUUUGGGGUAACUUCAGGAAACUGGGGCUACUAUCGGAUAGGAGCUCCUGCUGCAUGGUGGGGGUUGGAACGUUUCGGCGGUUGGGGAUGGACUCGCGGCUUAUCAGCUAGUUGGUGGGGUAGUGGCUUACCAAGGGUUUGACGGGUAGCCGGCAUGGGAGGGUGACCGGCGACAUUGGGACUAAGGUACGGCCCAGACUCCUACGGGAGGCAGCAGUGGGGAAUCUUGCACAAUGGGCGGAAGCGUGAUGCAGCAACGCCGCGUGCGGGAUGACGGCCUUCGGGGUGUGAACAGCUUUCGCCUGUGACGAAGCUGGAGUGACGGUAAUGGGUAAAGAAGCACCGGCUAACUACGUG